GCUUGCUUAGGCAACCAGGAGAGUAAAAUUGAUAAAAUACAGAGAAUAUUUGCAUGGUUCCUGUGCAAGGAUGGCCUACAUGGUGGUCGAGCAUUCCACAUUCUU